rnacentral:rRNA from 1 species
UACAGAGGGGGGCAAGCGUUGUCCGGACUUACUGGGCGUAAAGCGUGCGCAGGCGGUCUGUUAAGACCGAUGUGAAAUCCCCGGGCUUAACCUGGGAACUGCAUUGGUGACUGGCAGGCUUUGAGUGUGGCAGAGGGAGGUAGAAUUCCACGUGUAGCAGUGAAAUGCGUAGAGAUGUGGAGGAAUACCGAUGGCGAAGGCAGCCUCCUGGGCCAACACUGACGCUCAUGCACGAAAGCGUGGGGAGCAAACAGG